rnacentral:lncRNA from 1 species
AUUAUUACAUCCGAUAUUUUUUGUAUCAGCGUAAUCUCCAGUGAUAUCAUUGCAACCACCAUAGAACUGUUUCAUUAACCAUUGUAUUUGCCUGUUACACUGUCAAUGUGAGAAGGUUUCAAUUAUUGCAUGCUGAACAUAAGAUCUUUUACGUACACUGGUCACGAAGUUAUACAUGGUCUCCAAGAUCAGAUGUUCUCCCGUUCCACGCUGAAGAAAUGUCAAGCUUCAUACUUUUGAAAGAAUACAUUUGCAAUAUAUUGCAACUGUCGCCAUCUAAUACGAAUCCCAGACAUCGAUGCUUCAAGUUUCUUGGCUCUUGUCAAUGAGAUGUACCUAAGAGAUGGAACUCUGAACGAACUUAUAAAGCCACAACUUCAUGUAUAAUAAACGUUGGCUGAUUUACGCUACUAGAUCGCCUGAUCAAGGAAAAUAACAAAAAUAUUAGCGCUAAACAGCGUUUAGGCAUAAGCAGAAUUCAGGUCUCUCUUUCCAGAGGUCUCCUAACAGAAAUCGAUAUUUGCUUUGUUAGGCAGCAACUUGAAGUUUUCUUUAAUUCAUUACA